UAGGGAAUCUUCCGCAAUGGGCGAAAGCCUGACGGAGCAACGCCGCGUGAGUGAUGAAGGUCUUCGGAUCGUAAAACUCUGUUAUUAGGGAAGAACAAAUGUGUAAGUAACUAUGCACGUCUUGACGGUACCUAAUCAGAAAGACACGGCUAACUACGUGCCAGCAGCCGCGGUAAUACGUAGGUGGCAAUCGUUAUCCGGAAUUAUUGGGCGUAAAGCGCGCGUAGGCGGUUUUUUAAGUCUGAUGUGAAAGCCCACGGCUCAACCGUGGAGGGUCAUUUGAAACUGGAAAACUUGAGUGCAGAAGAGGAAAGUGGAAUUCCAUGUGUAGCGGUGAAAUGCGCAGAGAUAUGGAGGAACACCAGUGGCGAAGGCGACUUUCUGGUCUGUAACUGACGCUGAUGUGCGAAAGCGUGGGGAUCAAACAGG
rnacentral:rRNA from 1 species